UGGGGAAUAUUGCACAAUGGGCGCAAGCCUGAUGCAGCCAUGCCGCGUGUGUGAAGAAGGCCUUCGGGUUGUAAAGCACUUUCAGCGGGGAGGAAGGCGAUAAGGUUAAUAACCUUGUCGAUUGACGUUACCCGCAGAAGAAGCACCGGCUAACUCCGUGCCAGCAGCCGCGGUAAUACGGAGGGUGCAAGCGUUAAUCGGAAUUACUGGGCGUAAAGCGCACGCAGGCGGUCUGUCAAGUCGGAUGUGAAAUCCCCGGGCUUAACCUGGGAACUGCAUUCGAAACUGGCAGGCUAGAGUCUUGUAGAGGGGGGUAGAAUUCCAGGUGUAGCGGUGAAAUGCGUAGAGAUCUGGAGGAAUACCGGUGGCGAAGGCGGCCCCCUGGACAAAGACUGACGCUCAGGUGCGAAAGCGUGGGGAGCAAACGGG
rnacentral:rRNA from 1 species